rnacentral:rRNA from 1 species
GAUGAACGCUGGCGGCGUGCCUAAUACAUGCAAGUCGAGCGAACGGGCGCGAAGCUUGCUUCUCUGAUGUUAGGGGCGGGCGGGUGUGUCACACGUGGAUACCCUCCCUGUCAGUCUGGGAUCACUUCGGGACACCGUCGCUUAUCCCGGAUAAUAUUCUGCAGCGCGUGGUUCGAAAGUGAAAUACGGUCUUGCUGUCACUUCUCGAUGGUUCCGCGCUGCAUUAGCUAGUUGGUAAGGUAACGGCUUACCAAGGCAAGGAUGCAUAGCCGACCUGAGAGGGUGAUCGGCCACACGGGAACUGAGACACGGUCCAGACGCCUAAGGGAGGCAGCAGUAGGGAACCUGCCGCAACGGGCGAAAGCCUGACGGAGCAACGCCGCGUGAGUGAUGAAGGUGUUCGGAUCGUAAAACUCUGUUAUUAGGGAAGAACAGAUUUGGAAUGAACCGUGGCCUUCGUGACGGUACCGAAUCAGAAAGCAACGGCUAACUACGUG